AUUGAACGCUGGCGGCAUGCCUUACACAUGCAAGUCGAACGGCAGCACGGGGGCAACCCUGGUGGCGAGUGGCGAACGGGUGAGUAAUGCAUCGGAACGUGCCCAGUAGUGGGGGAUAACCCGGCGAAAGCCGGGCUAAUAUCGCAUACGACCUAUGGGUGAAAGCGGGGGACCGUAAGGCCUCGCGCUAUUGGAGCGGCCGAUGUCUGAUUAGCUAGUUGGCGGGGUAAAGGCCCACCAAGGCGACGAUCAGUAGCUGGUCUGAGAGGACGACCAGCCACACUGGGACUGAGACACGGCCCAGACCCCUACGGGAGGCAGCAGUGGGGAAUUUUGGACAAUGGGCGCAAGCCUGAUCCAGCCAUGCCGCGUGCGGGAAGAAGGCCUUCGGGUUGUAAACCGCUUUUGGCAGGAACGAAACGGCGCGGGUGAAUAUCCCGCGCUAAUGACGGUACCUGCAGAAUAAGCACCGGCUAACUACGUGCCAGCCGCCGCCGUAAUAC
rnacentral:rRNA from 1 species